GCAUGACUCUGGCUACCAUAUUGUUCCUGCUGGGCAUCCUCAUUAUCCUCAGCAAGAAGGUGAAGUGCAGAAAGGCGGACUCCAGCCCAACAUGCAAAUCCUGUAAGUCGGAGCUUCCCUCCUCAGAGGAGAGAGCCACAGCCUGUGAAGAGAGGGGUCCCACGUGGGAAAAGAACGUUGGC